CAGACACCAGAGAUAGGCAUUUUGUUAAGACAGCUUCUCUUCCUAACAACCUCCCUACAAUCUCCAUCAGAAGAAAUAUAUAUCCUUUGUCAUUCUUAAUUUCAGAGUCAGCCAGUCUUCAAACUUAUUUGUGGGGAACAUGUUAGAAAGGAGCUCACUGCCUCUUCACUGCUCCACUAUGACCUUGGUGUUCACCUUGAUGCUUGAGAUGCUUCUGUUUCUGACAGGAGCUGGAGCCCAGUCAGUGACCCAGCCUGAUGACCACAUCACUGUCUCUGAAGGAGCCAGUCUGGAGCUGAAGUGCAACUACUCAUCUUCUGUUUCACCAUACCUCCUCUGGUACGUGCAGUACCCAGACCAAGGACUCCAGCUUCUCCUGAACUCUCAGGAAAGUCCCCUGGAUCAAACAGGGAGUCAUAAACAAAAGGUGUGCGAGGGAUGGAUGUGGCGCAGAGUCCCCCAGCCCUGA